UUCAGUUAGUGUGGACUGAUUGGCCAG
rnacentral:piRNA from 1 species